AGCAGCCUGGGCGUCUGGUGCAGCAGCCUGGGCGUCUGGUGCAGCCAGCUUCCAACACAGAUGAGCAGUUUGGGCUGAUGCAGGAUUUGGUGCAACACGCUCCUGCUGCUAGGACCGAGCCAGAUGUAAUGACCGAGCAGCAGCCUAUGCAGCAGGGGUCUUUGGUGGUGCAGCAGCCUAUGCAGCAGGGAUCUUUGGUUGUGCAGCAGGGGCAGCAGAGUUUGGGCUCGCCUGUGCCAAGUCUGGGCACGCUAGUGUAGGGCGUUGGGGCUGUGGCUGAGGCUGUGGCCGAGCUGGUGCAGGAAAGUCCAGUGUUGCAGCAGGCGCUUGGGCAGAUGGUGUAGCAGAGUCU
rnacentral:lncRNA from 1 species